rnacentral:rRNA from 1 species
UACGUAGGGGGCAAGCGUUGUCCGGAAUCAUUGGGCGUAAAGCGCGUGUAGGCGGUUUCGUAAGUCUGCUGUGAAAGUCGGAGGCUCAACCUUCGAAAGCCGGUGGAUACUGUGAGACUUGAGUACGGAAGAGGAGAGUGGAAUUCCUGGUGUAGCGGUGAAAUGCGCAGAUAUCAGGAGGAACACCAACGGCGAAGGCAGCUCUCUGGGACGUUACUGACGCUGAGACGCGAAAGCGUGGGGAGCAAACAGG